GCCGAAGUAGCUCAGAGGUAGAGCAGCGCAUUCGUAAUGCGCGGGUCGCGGGUUCAAUUCCCGCCUUCGGCUCCA
rnacentral:tRNA from 4 species